CCUACCAUGCUCUUCGAGCGGCAGCGGAAAGUAGCUUGCUACUUUGCCGGCGAGCGGCGGACGGGUGAGUAAUGUCUGGGAAACUGCCUGAUGGAGGGGGAUAACUACUGGAAACGGUAGCUAAUACCGCAUGACCUCGAAAGAGCAAAGUGGGGGACCUUCGGGCCUCACGCCAUCGGAUGUGCCCAGAUGGGAUUAGCUAGUAGGUGAGGUAAUGGCUCACCUAGGCGACGAUCCCUAGCUGGUCUGAGAGGAUGACCAGCCACACUGGAACUGAGACACGGUCCAGACUCCUACGGGAGGCAGCAGUGGGGAAUAUUGCACAAUGGGCGCAAGCCUGAUGCAGCCAUGCCGCGUGUGUGAAGAAGGCCUUCGGGUUGUAAAGCACUUUCAGCGAGGAGGAAGGGUUCAGUGUUAAUAGCACUGUGCAUUGACGUUACUCGCARAAGAAGCACCGGCUAACUCCGUGCCAGCAGCCGCGGUAAUACGGAGGGUGCAGCGUUAAUCGGAAUUACUGGGCGUAAAGC
rnacentral:rRNA from 1 species